rnacentral:rRNA from 1 species
UACGUAGGGUGCGAGCGUUGUCCGGAAUUAUUGGGCGUAAAGAGCUCGUAGGCGGUUUGUCGCGUCUGCCGUGAAAGUCCGGGGCUCAACUCCGGAUCUGCGGUGGGUACGGGCAGACUAGAGUGAUGUAGGGGAGACUGGAAUUCCUGGUGUAGCGGUGAAAUGCGCAGAUAUCAGGAGGAACACCUGUGGCGAAGGCGGCCCCCUGGUUGGAUACUGACGCUGAUACGCGAAAGCGUGGGGAGCAAACAGG